rnacentral:rRNA from 1 species
UGCUAUAAUUGUCAGCUAAGUGGCGCACGGGUGAGUAAUGUAUAGAUAACCUGCCCUUAAGAAAGGAAUAACAGUUGGAAACGACUGCUAAUGCCCUAUAUGCCUUUAAUACAUAAGUAUGCAAGGGAAACGCUUUAGUGCUUAAGGAUGGGUCUGUAUGGUAUCAGCUUGUUGGUGAGGUAAUGGCUCACCAAGGCUAUGACGCCUAACUGGUUUGAGAGGAUGAUCAGUCACACUGGAACUGAGACACGGUCCAGACUCCUACGGGAGGCAGCAGUGGGGAAUAUUGCACAAUGGACGAAAGUCUGAUGCAGCAACGCCGCGUGGAGGAUGACACAUUUCGGUGCGUAAACUCCUUUUAUAUAGGAAGAUAGUGACGGUACUAUAUGAAUAAGCACCGGCUAACUCCGUGCCAGCAGCCGCGGUAAUACGGAGGGUGCAAGCGUUACUCGGAAUCACUGGGCGUAAAGAGCGUGUAGGCGGGUAUAUAAGUCAGAAGUGAAAUCCAAUAGCUCAACUAUUGAACUGCUUUUGAAACUGUAUACCUAGAAUGUGGGAGAGGUAGAUGGAAUUUCUGGUGUAGGGGUAAAAUCCGUAGAGAUCAGAAGGAAUACCGAUUGCGAAGGCGAUCUACUGGAACAUUAUUGACGCUGAGACGCGAAAGCGUGGGGAGCAAACAGGAUUAGAUACCCUGGUAGUCCACGCCCUAAACGAUGUACACUAGUUGUUGUGAGGCUCGACCUUGCAGUAAUGCAGUUAACACAUUAAGUGUACCGCCUGGGGGAGUACGGUCGCAAGAUU